GGGUCAGUAGGUUGGUCGUGCCCCCGGUACGUACUGGUCUCACUGAUUCCUCCUUCCUGAAGAACCGUAAUGCCAUUAAUUUGGUGUUGCGGGGAAACAGGACUGUUACUUUGAAAAAAUUAGAGUGUUUAAAGCAAGCUAACGCUUGAAUACAUUAGCAUGGAAUAAUGAAAUAGGACGAUCGAUCCUAUUUUGUUGGUUUCUAGGAUUGACGUA
rnacentral:rRNA from 1 species